UUUGUCACUAACAGGACACCCAUGAAAAGAUAUGUACAUGUCCUUUUGUUAAACACCGGGGGGACCCCUAAUCUGUCACCUUAAAGCAGUGUUCCGGGUUGCUUUCUUGUAUCAAAUAUUCUGCUAUGCCUUUAAAGUAAUAUGAAUCCAAAUAGCCGGAAGAACCAUGCAAUUUUCUCAGCAUCAUAGCCAACUUUUUCACCAAUGUUUUUUCAGUCCCAAUUCUUGAUUAACUGUAAGAUGCAUGUGAAGCUACAAGUUCUUUGUCGUUAGAUUUGAUACAAGUUUUCUUGCUGUUAGAUUUACUAACUUUGGUAAAGAAAAAGUGUUUUCUUUUUCUAUUGGAAGAUUUUAUUUUUUCAUGCUUUCGUUCAAGAAUUUUUUAACUGAGUACAGAAGGUGGUGGUGGUCAAAAAGAUGAUCUGUGCAGAAGAAGAAAAUGGAGAAAGGGUGUCCGUGAGGAGGACGCGCGAGAGGAAGAUAACAAGAAAGGGAGAGGCCGGGGGUUCAUUUCAUAUUCAAACAGACAACGAAAGACAUCGGAUACGCGAAAAAAGCCCCUACCACCACCCCAUUGUCUCCUUGGCUUCCUCGGCUUUCGUGCGAUUUUUAAGCCCUGCCCCACUCUCUCUCUGCUCUAAAACCACCCUCCUCUUCACUUUCCUUGAACCCAAAUCGCCUCGCUUCGAGAUUGAAGCUUUCUUUGUUCCUCCCUCUUACUCUAGGGAACUAAGGUUUAUACACUUUUAGAGAUGUUUGCCUUCAUUCAUCUUCAAGCUAUUGCUUCUCGUGGUCUGCCUCUGAUCCUUGUGCAGUUCCCUGAGAGCUGGUUUCUCCCAAAAAGGUUCAAAGUCAGUAGAGAUGCAGUUGAAGAUCAUCUUCUCUCUGAACAUUGAACAUGAAAUUUGUAGUGAUGCCGUUGAAGAUCAUCUUCUCUCUGAACAUUGAACAUGAAAUUUACUUAUUUUUAAGGUCUGCAGAAUUUAUGAUUUGAUAUAAUUGAGACAUGGAGUAGGGAAUGAAGCCAUCGGUCCGUGCAGUAUAGGAUAAAUGUAUAAUAUUUGACAGUUACUGUAAACUUUUUGUGUUUCUGAAAUUUUUAGCUGAUACGAACAAUGUUUUAAUUCCUA